GGAUGAGCAGCCACACUGGGACUGAGACACGGCCCAGACUCCUACGGGAGGCAGCAGUGGGGAAUUUUCCGCAAUGGGCGCAAGCCUGACGGAGCAAUAUAGCGUGAGGGAGAAAGGCCUUUGGGUUGUAAACCUCUUUUGUCAGGGAAGAAAAUUUGACGGUACCUGAAGAAAAAGCAUCUAACGCCGUGCCAGCAGCCGCGGUAAU
rnacentral:rRNA from 1 species